GUCUCUGUGAUCUGUGAUUUCACUACCGUAGUGAAUACGUUUCCUCUCCCUCUUGUGCUCUUGACCCCGACAGUGGUUGGACAGUGUGUGUGUGCCUCCCAUGUUCUCUCUCCCUCAACCCUCUCUUCCCCACACUUUCCGAGGCUUGUGUGUGUUUUCUCUCUGCUGUAGUCCAGAGGGAGAGACUCUUCGAGAGAGGGAGUGUGUGAGGCAGCAGCAGCAGCUGGAGGUGGGGCUGGACUCUACAGGCCAGUUCCCCUGCAGGACAUCUCUCUGACCAGACAGAGUGCGAGUACCCUGGCGCUGCAGGACCACGUAGUGUUGUGUGUGUUUGGGGAUGGGGGCUCCAGCUUGCUGGGUCUGGGGGACUUCAUGAUGCCUCUGAGGGCCAGCAGCCUGACGGCCCCAGAGCUGAGAACUGUGGUCUUUCUGGGAGACCCACAUUACUUCAGAAGGGAGUGGCCCAACAUACAAUACUUCCCCAACAUCUACGACUCCUCCUAAAUUGCUAUGAUACCUGAGAAGGUGGAGAUCACCGCUGCUCACAGCACCGGCACCACGGUCCCUCUGCUGGUGGAGUAAACAGCUCUAAUGUGUGCUAUGUGAACUAGGCAGACAGCCAUGAGGACCUCUUCAGCCUGACCCAGGCCUUCUCUGUAUGCUCCGUCUUCUCGGUUGACCUGCUCGACUCUCUCAUAGCAGUUGUGUGUACACAGGACAUCACAAGACUGGAUCUAACAUAAUGUUAAUAAACUGUCUGGCCAUCACACAAUGUUUACCAUGACAUUACCCGAUAUCCCUUAAAUAGUAAAUCAGUACUGCUUUGUUGCUUAUACUUAUGCUAUAGUUCAUGGCUUGAAAGUAUUAUUUUACGCUUGGGAAGCAUGAUAAUAGUACUGUUGUACUUCUUCUCUACUCAAUGCUAUAAGGUCAUGUAUCUGGAGCACCAAAGAUGGUGGACGAUCGAUAGCCUCCGCAAAAUAGCUAGCUAACCAGUCAACUAACUUUUGAAAAGUCGUUACUAGUUAUUGGCCGCUAGUAGAACACACAGUGUCACUGCAAACUGAGGGUUAGCUAUCCUAACCAAUGCCUAACCUAAUCAAACAUAAACUGACCCAACCUUACAUCUGCGUGGUUGCCUGUCUGUUGUCUAUGUUGUGGUGUAUAGACAUACUUCAAUGCCAAUGUGCCUGGUCUUAUCUGUACGCUGGUCACGGGUGCAACACCCUCUUACUGAAGGCCUAGCUGUGAGACGACAACCAGCUGCGAGGAGGAGAUAUGUCCCUGAAGAUGUGGGCGCUGCGCCAACGCUCCAAACUGGCGUAGCUGGCACUACAGGACGAGCUCCUCUGCUGCCUCGCUGUGAGAGUUUCUACUACUAACACACAGACACACACCUACAGUGGGGCAAAAAAGUAUUUAGUCAGCCACCAAUUGUGCAAGU